rnacentral:rRNA from 1 species
CCUACGGGAGGCUGCAGUGGGGAAUUUUGGACAAUGGGGGCAACCCUGAUCCAGCCAUGCCGCGUGUCUGAAGAAGGCCUUCGGGUUGUAAAGGACUUUUGUUAGGGAAGAAAAGGGAAGUGCUAAUAUCACUUUUUGCUGACGGUACCUAAAGAAUAAGCACCGGCUAACUACGUGCCAGCAGCCGCGGUAAUACGUAGGGUGCGAGCGUUAAUCGGAAUUACUGGGCGUAAAGCGAGCGCAGACGGUUAUUUAAGUCAGAUGUGAAAUCCCCGAGCUUAACUUGGGAACUGCGUUUGAAACUGGGUAACUAGAGUAUGUCAGAGGGGGGUAGAAUUCCACGUGUAGCAGUGAAAUGCGUAGAGAUGUGGAGGAAUACCGAUGGCGAAGGCAGCCCCCUGGGAUAAUACUGACGUUCAUGCUCGAAAGCGUGGGUAGCAAACAGGAUUAGAUACCCUAGUAGUC